UGAGGCAUUCAAUAAGAUUAGAAAUUUUGUGAAAAAAGUGUGAGCCCAGUUCUGCCCUAAACAAGGCUGGAUAUGGAUUUCUACGAAUUUCUUUCAAAGCUCACAGAGGACCAUGUGUUAGAAAACGUGACUCUUGCCCUGGCCUUGUAUGUCUAAGGCUUGGCAGGAGCUAUCUUAAGUUCAGGUGUAAUUUAGGAAAAGAAAACCUAUUAACUGAAAUUCAACAAAACAAACAAACCCCUAAAAUAUCAACUUUCCUUUUUAAUAGAUGGCCUCUGUUUGGGGCUUUUCUUCUUCUUUUUUUUUUGUUUUUGUUUUUGUUUUUGUUUUUUUUUUUUCGAGACAGGGUUUCUCUGUAUAGCCCUGGCUGUCCUCGAACUCACUUUGUAGACCAGGCUGGCCUCGAACUCAGAAAUCCGCCUGCCUCUGCCUCCCGAGUGCUGGGAUUAAAGGCGUGCGCCACCACACCCGGCUCGAAGGGGCUUUUCUAAUGAGUGAUUACAGACUAUAGUGGACUGUAGGCAUUGGGUCUUAUGUGACUUCCUUUUGUAUGUAACAUUCUGUCUACAAUGUAGACCAGAAUUCAUUUUAUGAACACAGGGAACCCUUACUGAGACUGCUGCUCAAAUGUUUCUUUUAGGUCUAACUUACGGUGUUGUCAGCAGAGCUCAGUCAUUUGUCAACUUGGAAUGCUCAGUCUUAGACUUAGACUGCUAUGAAGAGCUGACAUAUGAAGUAUACUUGAAAACAGAUUGCUUUCUUUGUAUUAGAACUACCAAAAUUCAAAUAUGAGAUAGUCAUCUGGAUUUCUUCCCCAAUAUAUUUUUAUAUCAUACAAUUUAGAAAGAAAAUUUGUUUUGGGUCAAUUUUUAUCUAAAUACUUUUACUUAAUAUAUAUUGCAGAGUGUGAUAUUUACUCUUAUAUUUAAAACAUAAAUAAAACUGAAUAGCAAAUAGUUUAUUAAGUUCAUGGUUUCAACUGUAGUAAUAAAUUCACUUGAAUAGGAGACAGUAAUCAAGAAAUACUUAUUAAUCAUCAGAAAAUCUCUGGCCAUUUGGGCUGUCACGCAGAAAUCCGAAGUCACUGAAAGGCCAAAUCUGUAAAAUGAAAAUACAGUUGAAUACAAUUAAUGAAAAUUCUUUAUCAUCAUCAUGUCCCCUUUUCCUUUUCUCUGUGUUAGAUACUGCAGUACGUUCUUUUCAUCAGCUAUUCUGAAAAUAAACAUGUAUAUUUACUCUGAGGCAUUCAAACAUGACACCAGAAAUUCAGUUUAGUGUAUCAAUAUAAGUUUGUGAAGACAUGGCUGUUUUCUUUUACACUACCAAUCUAUGCUACUUGAUAUUGUAAAUGCUUGAAUAUGGCACCUUUUUAAGUAUAAAGAACCCUGAACAGUAUCCAGUCGGCUUAGAUAUUCAUGCAGUUUUCUUCUAAAGCCUUGUGAUCAAGGGGGAGCAGGUGUAGUGACAAAUACCUGUAAUCUGCCAUCUGUGACACUAGCACUUCUAAGACAAAGACAGGAAGGGAGAGUUAAAGACCUGCCUGGAAUACAGAGUAAAACCCUGUCUUAAAAUAAAAUUAUAUCAACCAAUAAUGGAAGAACCAAUGUCAUCUAAGGCUUAUUGUAUAUUCUCUACAGCCAUACACCUGCCUAAGGCUUGCUGUAUUUACCUGGGUCCACCUGCAUUCCAAGUAGACUGAGCCUGUGCUGCUGCUGCUGUAGAAGUGCUGGCUGGCAUGAUGUGACUAUGGCUGUAAAAGUCACACAUGGCAGAAUUUGAUUUCUGUAAACUCAAAGGUUCUCUAGGCUACUACUAAUUAUUUUGAAUUUUAUUAUAAAAAUACUCAGUUAUUCCCCCUAGGAACAGGACGUGGAGGAAUAGGAAGGGGAGAGGAUAAUGUUUUGUCCAUCAUUCUUAAGUAAAGGUAAAAUGUUCAUCAAAUGCAGUCACUGCAACAGUUAAGUCAACUUGGAAGCCAUGGGUUUCAAAUUAGAUUUGAUUUAAUUAGAGAGAUGCCCUCACCCCUGCCAGCUCAUAGAAUAAAGGUGGUGUUCUAGGCAUUAAAGCAUACCUUAAAGAAGAUACGUCCUCUUAUUAGUCCAUAUGGUAUAGGUCCAUAAUACCUGGAAUCGGUAGAAUUCUGUAAGUUAUCACCUUCUAACCAAACAUGACCUGUUGGCACCUGGAAUUAGUAAAGAAAAGCAGGCCCUUUAGAAACAAGAAAAACUCAACAGGGGACUAUCACAAAAAACAAAGGCCUGGAACUGUGGUGUACAACUAGAUUCUCCUCACUUGGGAGACUGAAGCAAGGAGAUCAUGAACUCAAAGCUAGGAUGAGCUACACAAACCCUAUAUGAAAGAAAGACUUCAUUUGGAGGAGGAACAUAUAUCCUGAUGUCUUCCUUUAUACAUGUCAGUUUUGCUUUCAUUUCUACUAAAUGACUAAAUAUCAAAGGUGUCUACAUUUUAAAAAGAUCUCUUUAUUAUCUGGGUCCCAAACACUAAUUUGUAGAAACCUCAAACUAAGGUUGUAAGAAGUGAAAACAGUGUGCCACUGUCAUUAAUUUAAUAGACUUCAAAAGAGGUCAUUAGGCUGCUGACUGAAAAUGUGCCCUCCUGUUGCAGUAACAGCAUAAGCAGGGCAGCCAGUCAGCAACAUCCUGGGGCCAGUUCUGAGGCCAGACCUAUUAGAAUGCUCAUGAUGAACUAAGUGGUAAUGAAUUGUGACAUCAAUUACAAAUAAUCUCAUCAUUUUAUUGCAGUGGGCUUGUCAGAGUUCUAAUUAAGACCCCUGUCUUGCCUUUGUACUGGCCAUAUCGUCACUGCCUUAUAUGUUGAUAAUGACCAUCAAGAACCAGAAGGACCUAUUAUAAAACCAUCAGCUGCAAAUUAAUGACAGUGACCUUCUACUAGAUAAGUCUUGUAUAUUAACUAGUAAAAGGUAUAAAUGUUUACUCAAUUAUAAUCCUUUUUCAAAGCUAUACUUCUCAAAAAUGCAUUCUUCCAAUAUGAGAUAUUCACCCACUAAAAAUCCAUUCAAUAGAAACUUAGAAGGUGCUUUCUGACAGCAAUCUGUACACUGCAUUUUUAUGUUUUUAUUUUAUAGUUUUUGUUAAUGCAAGAAAAGUUGACUUAUUGACCAGACCAAAACAAUCUAUUGGGAAGAUUUCAUUGGAUUAAGAUAUACCAUAAUUUUAUUUUUGUAUGACAAUGUUAUUUUUGUAUAUUAUGAGCAUUUAAAUUUUGAGUUCAUUUUCAUAAGAUUGUAUUUCUAGGAUAUCUUGAUUAAAUGAGCUAGCUUCAGGUCCUGGAGCUGAUAACAUGUCUAGAACUACUUAGUCAUAAACUGACCGACAGGCAGUGCAGUGUAGAAAAGCAAGUGUAUCUGAAGUCACAUAUAAAUGAGCACAGCAUAUGGAAAGCCAAGUGUACCUACUGCACUUUUGGAGAAGAUACAAGAUAAGGAGCUCUUGUAUUUAGAUUUCUAGUUUCUUAAAGAAUGUUUGUUCCUCAGUCAUAAUACUGGUGCUAUGUAUGAAUAAGAGAUACCAGUAAAAGGAAAAGAAAGAUGUUUUACAAAUAG
rnacentral:lncRNA from 1 species